rnacentral:lncRNA from 1 species
AUGCGCAAUGGAGGGUCCGGCGUCCGCCUUGGCGGGUGGGAGUGAUGACCUGCACUCCCCAAACCACUGCGGGAUAGAACGGGGCCGAGUGCUCUCAGGGGUGGCCGCUACCGGGGCGGCCCGAGACACGGCUGCGGGUUCCAGCCAACAGGCCCGGAGUCGCGGCCUCGGCUCCGCCGUGGGUGCACGGGCUAGGGCUGCGGGGACUCCUGUGGGCUCCGCGUCUGCGGCUGGGAGGAAUGGGGAUCGUCCCCAGAUCCCGCCUUCCGGGCAGGGCCUCCGCUGCCUGCGAUCCUGCCCACAGUCCAAGGAUCCUCCUCGCCUCUCGCGGACUGCGGUGUCAGCCGCCCGAGCCGUUCCCCGGACACCUGGCCAGGAGAAUUGCUUGAACCUGGGAGGUGGAGGUUGCAGUGAGCUAAGAUCGCACCACUGCACUCCAGCCUGGGUGACAGAGCGAGACUCCAUUUCAAAAAAAAAGACUGAAACAAGCUUGUGCUAAGAUGGAAAGGGCUGCUUCUAACAGAUGUGGUUUGUUGCUUUAGUUGUUGAAGCAAAAAUACUGAGUUGUUAUGUUUAUGUUAUCACCCCACCACUACCUCCAUGGUUGUUCAUUUAGGAUGCUUCUAAUUCAGCCACUGUGAACCAUUAUAAAGGUUUUAUUGCCAUGUUGAAAAUGUUUAUAAUAUGGCAAAAAGGGGCAUCAAAUAGAAGAUUUACUAUUAUUCCAGCCAUGUAAAAAUAUGUGCACAUAUGGAUGUAUGUUGAAAGUGGAUGAUGGAGAAAUAAAAUGUGGUUUUCUUUGGGG